CGUGUAGGCGGCCGAUUAAGUCCGGAGUGAAAGUCCUGCUUUCAAGGUGGGAAUUGCUUUGGAAACUGGUAGGCUUGAGUGCGGAAGAGGUAAGUGGAAUUCCCAGUGUAGCGGUGAAAUGCGUAGAGAUUGGGAGGAACACCAGUGGCGAAGGCGACUUACUGGGCCGUAACUGACGCUGAGGCGCGAAAGCGUGGGGAGCGAACA
rnacentral:rRNA from 1 species